GGAGGUCGUGCGCCCAGUUGGACGUCUUCUUAAUAAUUUACCAGCGAAAUGAUCUGUGGACUAAGAAUUAUGAAUUAAUAACUCAAACGCUGACGAAACCGGAUUGGCUGACUUCGAUGAUGACACCUGCCAUUACGCUUCCUGCGCUGCUGCUUCACAACUCUCCCACCAAUCAAAUGCUGACUGAAAAUCAUGAAUCAUACUGAAUGGGCCGCUAGCUGAUUACUGUGACAGUCAUUGAUUUUUUAUGCUUUUUGAUGUAACAGGGAGCGGAGGGACACUGAGCUCUGUCCCGCAGCUGCCCUGGGGGAUG